GCGGGUGUAGCUCAACUGGUUAGAGCGUCGGUUUGUGGUACCGAAGGUUGCGGGUUCGACCCCCGUCACUCGCCCCA
rnacentral:tRNA from 1 species